GCCCUAUCCCGCGGCGAGUGAAGCGGCAAAAGCUCCAUUUGAAAUCUGGCCCUAGCGGUCCGAGUUGUAAUUUGCAGAGGAUGCUUUUGGUGCGGUGCCUUCCGAGUUCCCUGGAACGGGACGCCAUAGAGGGUGAGAGCCCCGUACGGUUGGACACCUAGCCUCUAUAUAGCUCCUUCGACGAGUCGAGUAGUUUGGGAAUGCUGCUCUAAAUGGGAGGUAAAUUUCUUCUAAAGCUAAAUACCGGCCAGAGACCGAUAGCGCACAAGUAGAGUGAUCGAAAGAUGAAAAGCACUUUGAAAAGAGGGUUAAAUAGCACGUGAAAUUGUUGAAAGGGAAGCGUUUGCGACCAGACCUUCUCCAGGGGGAUCAACCGUUAUUUUUAGCGGUGCACUCCCCCUGGUUUAGGCCAGCAUCGGUUCUCUUAGGGGGAUAAAGGCCUGGGGAACGUAGCUCUUUAGGGAGUGUUAUAGCCCCUAGCGUAAUACCCUUCAGGGGACCGAGGACCGCGCUUCGGCAAGGAUGCUGGCGUAAUGGUCGUCAACGACCCGUCUUGAAACACGGACCAAGGAGUCGAACAUUUGUGCGAGUGUUUGGGUGUUAAACCCUCACGCGUAAUGAAAGUGAACGGAGGUGAGAGCCUUAGGGUGCAUCAUCGACCGAUCCUGAUGUCUUCGGAUGGAUUUGAGUAAGAGCAUAACUGUUCGGACCCGAAAGAUGGUGAACUAUGCGUGGAUAGGGUGAAGCCAGAGGAAACUCUGGUGGAGGCUCGCAGCGGUUCUGACGUGCAAAUCGAUCGUCAAAUCUGCGCAUGGGGGCGAAAGACUUAUCGA
rnacentral:rRNA from 1 species